rnacentral:rRNA from 2 species
GCUAGUUGUAUUAACUUUUAGUUAAUACAAGAUCGACUAUGUCGACUAAAGUUCUAGGUAGAAUAAUGAUGAUGACAAUUUUCUACCUAUAUGUCUUGACCAAAUCUCGUGCCAGCAGUCGCGGUAAUACGUGGAAGACUAGUGUUAUUCAUCUUAAAUAGGUUUAAAGGGUACCUAGACGGUAUAUCUAGCCCAAAACAGGGUACGGAUUAACUAGAGUUUUAUGUGAGAAGGGGAGUACUCUUAGAGUAAAGAUGAAAUUUUAUGAUACUAUGAGGAAACUGGUGGCGGCGAAAGCAACCUUCUAUGUAUAAACUGACGUUGAGGGACGAAGGCUUGGGUAGCAAAUAGGAUUAGAUACCCUAGUAGUCCAAGCAGACAAUUCUGAAUGCCAUAGAUUAGAUUUUUUUGAUUUAUAAAUGAAAGUGUAAGCAUUCCACCUUAGGAGUAAUGUGGCAACACAGGAACUGAAAUCAUUAGACCGUUUCUGAAACCAGUAGUGAAGUAUGUUAUUUAAUUUGAUAGUCCUCAAAAAACCUUACCACAACUUGAAUGUUAUUUAAUUAAUACAAGCGUUGCACGGCUGUCUUCAGUUAAUGUCGUGAGAUUUUGGUUAACUCCUUAAAUUAACGUAAACCCAUACUUUAUU